CCUAACCCCAAAAUCACUUUCUCUUCCUCCACGUGAACACCAAACCAUGAAACCCUUCAACUUCGACAGCUUAUCGCUGACCAAUACCAUCUAUGUCGUCUGUUGCUACUCAUCUAUCGUCGAUAUCGUCCGUCUGCCACGCUCAAGAUGCUAAAUGUUGAGGAUUCGUCCUUGUCGUCGUUUGGUUGCCAGAAGAGUCAACCAACAUGUUUAGGAGAAUGUUUUCCACGUUUUUCUCUCUUUCGGCAAAGGUAUUGUAAAGACCGACUCCUUUUUAUCUUGGUUUUGAUUUACUAUUGGUUUCCCAA